rnacentral:lncRNA from 1 species
CUUCGGCACUGCCGCUCCGCAGACAGGUAUACAGGACCAAUGGGGAGGGGGGGGGACUCCUGCCAUUCUCCAGAAAACGCAGGCUGGAAGCAGUGAAAUGCCUCCCAGAGGAGGCAGCUGGCUGACCAGGGGGAGGAGCGGGCUGGGAGCCCAGACUCCCCCAGGCGCCUGGCCCUCCUGCCCUCCUGGUCUGUACGUGUCCACGGCCUCUGCGUGUGUCCGCAGAGAUGCUUUCCUGUUACUCCAGGCUGUUCGGACGCUGUGGGCCAACUCCAGACGAAAGUAAGGGCCCACGUGGGUCCCAAAUGCUCCUUUGUUGGGCUUCCCCAUUCUCACCCCCCAGAAAGCCCUCCUUUUCUGAGUCCUCACUCAUUGUGCGCUGAGCGCCUGCUGUGUUCGCAGUUUGGUAGCAGGCCCAACUCCUGUGCAGCUCCUUUUGCUGUCAAGGGGGACAGUGACACACGCCCCACAGUGCCCUGGGGACCCAGGCCUGGAGCAGGCCAGGUCACACAGGGAGGGGGAGCACCAGGGGCUGGACUCAAGGCCCCAGGAAGCAGGGGCAGUGGCCUUGAAAUGAGGUGUCCCCCAAGCUCUGGCCCUUUCACAUGGUCUGCUCUUCGCCUCCACGCCCACCGAGUCCACCCCACUCCUGAGUCUGUGUCUAAGCGUCAAGACCACCACCCACCCGAGUGGCCAGGGAUGCUGCUGGGGUAAGAGGAUGGGCUCCCCAGAAGCAUGCCCCCCACCCUCCACCCCGCUGCUCCAAGGAAGCACAGCCACAGCACGCACCCCGCAUCCCCCAGCCAGUCCCAAGAGUGAGACACGUAUUAUUCACCUUAUUGCCCAAUGGAAAAACAGCACGUUCCAGGACCUGCUGAUUCACUCCCUCUCGACAAAAUAUACUGAACGCUAGUGCAGGCUUUUCUUUUAAUUGUGGUAACAUGCACAAGAUGAAACGUACCAUUUUGACCAUCUCUGAGUGUACGGUUAUGUGGCAUGAAGUAAGUUCACACUGUUUGCAGCCGCCAUCAUGCACCUCCGCCAAGUUCUUCACUGUCCCACCAGUAAACACUAACCCCCAUCACUACUCCCCCAGGCCCAGGCACCCACCAGCUACUUCCUGUCUCUAUGAACUUGACCACUGUAGGGACCUCAGAUAAGUCCGUGGAAUCCUACAGUAUUUGCCUUCUUGUGACUGGCUUACUUCACCUGGCAUCAUGUCUUCGAGGUUCAUCCAUGUUGUAACAUGUGAGAGUUCCCUUCCUUUUUAAGACUGUUAUUUCAUUGUAUUUAUAAUCCAUGUUUGAUUUCUCCAUUCAUUGUUGAAGGACACUUGGGUUGUUCC